rnacentral:rRNA from 1 species
AAAUUGAAGAGUUUGAUCAUGGCUCAGAUUGAACGCUGGCGGCAGGCCUAACACAUGCAAGUCGAACGGUAACAGGAAGCAGCUUGCUGCUUCGCUGACGAGUGGCGGACGGGUGAGUAAUGUCUGGGAAACUGCCUGAUGGAGGGGGAUAACUACUGGAAACGGUAGCUAAUACCGCAUAACGUCGCAAGACCAAAGAGGGGGACCUUCGGGCCUCUUGCCAUCGGAUGUGCCCAGAUGGGAUUAGCUAGUAGGUGGGGUAACGGCUCACCUAGGCGACGAUCCCUAGCUGGUCUGAGAGGAUGACCAGCCACACUGGAACUGAGACACGGUCCAGACUCCUACGGGAGGCAGCAGUGGGGAAUAUUGCACAAUGGGCGCAAGCCUGAUGC